rnacentral:rRNA from 1 species
UACAGAGGUCUCAAGCGUUGUUCGGAUUCAUUGGGCGUAAAGGGUGCGUAGGUGGCGCGCUAAGUCAGGUGUGAAAUUUCGGAGCUUAACUCCGAAACUGCAUUUGAUACUGGCGUGCUUGAGGACUGGAGAGGAGACUGGAAUUCACGGUGUAGCAGUGAAAUGCGUAGAUAUCGUGAGGAAGACCAGUGGCGAAGGCGGUCUCCUGGGGCAUUCUUGACGCUGAGGCGCGAAAGCUGGGGGAGCGAACGGG